UGCAUCCUGCUGCACCCUCCUGCACCUUCCUCCUGCAUCUUACCGUUCCCUUUUGCAAACCCCUGCACCCUCCUGCAUUUUCCUGCACCCUCCUGCAUCUGCUUUAACUCUAACCAUCCACCUUCAGCUUCCUCCUGCAUCUUCCUCCUGCAUCUUCCUCCUGUGUGUUCCUGCACAUUCCUCCUGCAUUCUCCCCUGCAGCACCCUUCUGCAUCCUGAAGCACCUUCCUAUACCUCUCUGAUCUCUGCUGCAUCUUCCCGUACCCUCUUACAUCCCUACGUGCCCUCCUCCAUCUCACUGCAUCCUCAUGCAGACCCUGCACCUUCCAACAUCCUCCCACACCCUCCAAGAGCAUCCUCAUGCACCCUCUUUUAUCCUCCCACACCCUUCUCCAUGCUCCCUCACCUUCCUGCAUCCUCACACAGCCUGCCACACCCUGCUGCACCCUCUUGCACCCUUCUGUGCCCUCCUGUACCCUCCUCGAUGCCACGUUGCACAGCAUUUGCAGCCUCCAGCCCUUGUGCCACCACUGAACUAGGCCAUCACCGGCCAGCACAGCAUGGCCAGAGCAAAAAAUUCCCCCUUUCCAGCCCCCUGAACCACUACGCUUCCAGAAAUGUUAAUCCAUCAGCAGGGGAACAUGUCCUCUUGGACACCCAGGAGUGCUGGAUAAUGAAGUGCUGGACCCCCCUGGGAACCCGAAAGGCAGGGGCUGAAGCUGAAGGUUGAGGUGUAUGGAGCUGCUCAGCUAUUGCAGGACAGUCUGAGGUGUUUAACCUCAGUCUGCACAUCUGAUGCUCUCCAAAAAGUGCUGAAGACUGAGCCCUCUGUCCCUCUCUGAGACCUUCUUUGCUCUGAAGUGCCCAAAAAUAUGCAUUUCUGGUAAAGAGAAGAGAAACCCCACUGCCAAAAUAUUGGUGUGCUCCUUCUCCCACCUGGCCCUCUCUCCAAGUUGCUUCACUGGGAUGGUGCCAAAUUCCAACAGCAAAAGCCAAGAGUGCAGCGAAUCUGACAGGACUGGCAGCAUCCCAUCGAGAAGCAGCUGUGCCCCAAAACGCCGAGAUCAUCACCUCAUGCUUUUGUGCAGGCAGCUGGGGAACCCCCUGGGCCGAGAGGCGGCAGCACUGGGCUGUGGUGUCAGCAGGGUGAGUUGAGGUGUUCAGGCUGUUUAAAGCCAUCAGGCAACGAGAGAUCGAUGGCGGUGCAGUUACAGAUGGACAAGAGACAGUGAUAUGCUGAUGGUGAUGCUUUGUCAGCAAGUAAAGAGGAAAGAUGAGCCAGGAAGCAAUGGAGGAGCCUCUGGACCCUGCAUGGGGAAUGGGAGAUCUCGGUGUCCUCUGCCAUGGAUUCUCAGAGUGAGAUGCAUUGGCAGUGAAAGAAACCCGAACAUCUCCCUGGAAAUAGUCCCAGAGGCUGCAGUGAAACCCCAGUGGCUGAGUGAGGAGGACGGCCACACACCUGGAUUGGUGCAGCAAGGUGAGGACAUGGCAUGGGC